UUGAUUUAUUCAAGACGUCAAUCAGAGUACGACAGAGAUGGACGAGAGCCAGUGGCUUCCGGCGGGGCUAGCCGUCGAAAAACGCAUGUAUGUUCGCUGGGGUUUAGCAGGGUGCUAGUUCUGUAAUGAUCCCUCCGCUGGUUCACCAACGGAGA
rnacentral:misc_RNA from 1 species